rnacentral:rRNA from 1 species
GACAGAGGCCUCAAGCGUUAGGCGGAAUCACUGGGCUUAAAGCGUGUGUAGGCGGAUCGUUAAGUACCUUGUGAAAUCCCACGGCUCACCCGUGGAACUGCUGGGUAUACUGGCGGUCUUGGGCCAACUAGGGGCAGCUGGAACAAGCGGUGGAGCGGUGAAAUGCGUAGAUAUCGCUUGGAACGCCGAAGGUGAAAACAGGCUGCUGGGGUUGUGCCGACGCUGAGACACGAAAGCCAGGGGAGCAAACGGGG